GCCUGCAUGAAGUUGGAAUCGCUAGUAAUCGCGGAUCAGCAUGCCGCGGUGAAUACGUUCCCGGGCCUUGUACACACCGCCCGUCACACCAUGAGAGUUGGGAAUACCCGAAGUCUGUAAUCUAACCGCAAGGAGGAUGCAGCCGAAGGUAGGCUCAAUGAUUGGGGUUAAGUCGUAACAAGGUAAC
rnacentral:rRNA from 1 species